UCCGUAGGGGGAACCUGCGGAGGGAUCAUUACCGAGUUUACAACUCCCAAACCCCUGUGAACAUACCUUAAUGUUGCCUCGGCGGAUCAGCCCGCGCCCCGUAAAACGGGACGGCCCGCCAGAGGACCCAAACUCUAAUGUUUCUUAUUGUAACUUCUGAGUAAAACAAACAAAUAAAUCAAAACUUUCAACAACGGAUCUCUUGGUUCUGGCAUCGAUGAAGAACGCAGCAAAAUGCGAUAAGUAAUGUGAAUUGCAGAAUUCAGUGAAUCAUCGAAUCUUUGAACGCACAUUGCGCCCGCUGGUAUUCCGGCGGGCAUGCCUGUUCGAGCGUCAUUUCAACCCUCAAGCCCCCGGGUUUGGUGUUGGGGAUCGGCUCUGCCUUCUGGCGGUGCCGCCCCCGAAAUACAUUGGCGGUCUCGCUGCAGCCUCCAUUGCGUAGUAGCUAACACCUCGCAACUGGAACGCGGCGCGGCCAUGCCGUAAAACCCCAACUUCUGAAUGUGACCUCGGAUCAGGUAGGAAUACCCGCUGAACUUAAGCAUAUCAAUAGCCGGAGG
rnacentral:rRNA from 1 species